rnacentral:lncRNA from 1 species
GUAGAUUGACUAAAGAGUUAUAGUGUUGGCAAAGCAAAAAAUGACUAUAUAUAGCAUCUUAAAGACACAAAAUGUAGUAUUGAACGUUACAAAGUAGCAUCUCGUGUAAUAAGCAAGCAAGACAUUUUAACAUGUUGUGUUCGGAAGAAGGUAGGGGCAGGUGAUCACGUGGUGCAAACCCUUGCUGGCGAGUCAGGCAAUCAGGGUGAAGUGUGACACGGAGGCGAAUGUUUUUGAGGGCUGUCCACGAUGUAGUUUGUAGACGGCGAAGAGACCAUGGUGAUUCUCGGUGGUUGGUAAGGUUUGUAUUGGUUAAGACCUGGAUGUAUGUGAAAUAAUUUUUGUGCUCCAAUUUUUGUGAGAAGUAAUUCCAGAUGAUUAUGUUUCACACACGUAUAUGGACAGUUCUAUUUCCACUAUAGAGAUUUGUAUACAGCACAACUGCCAGGUUCUCUAUCGAUUGAUGCACUACUUUUAUAUUUAAUACUUUUUUCUGGGAAAUUACAAAAAUGAUCGGUUGAACGGCAUGCUAACGUGUGCCUGUAGGGAAGGUGUGAAUGGUUUGUGUUGUUCGUAUUAAUUAGAGUAGUCAUAACGCAUUAAGAUUGUAAUAUGAGUGUAGGUUCUGAGUUGGGUGUUGUCCCUAGCGCAUCCAAUCCAGUGGAUCUAUGUUGUGAUAAUAGUGGAGCCAUUGCGCAAGCAAUGGAGCAUAGGUACACCAAAGGUCUAAACACAUAGUAUAGCACUAUCAUCUCAUCCAUGAGAUAAUUGAUGAGAAAUUUGCAAGGUGCACAUGAAUUUGAAUGUUGGUAAUCCGUUGAUGAAGCC